rnacentral:rRNA from 1 species
ACGUUACUCGCAGAAGAAGCACCGGCUAACUCCGUGCCAGCAGCCGCGGUAAUACGGAGGGUGCAAGCGUUAAUCGGAAUUACUGGGCGUAAAGCGCACGCAGGCGGUUUGUUAAGUCAGAUGUGAAAUCCCCGGGCUCAACCUGGGAACUGCAUUUGAAGACUGGCAAGCUAGAGUCUCGUAGAGGGGGGUAGAAUUCCAGGUGUAGCGGUGAAAUGCGUAC